UCUCCGUUGGUGAACCAGCGGAGGGAUCAUUACAGGACUCGCAAGACUCCUUCACCCUGUGAACCUCACUACAAGCACGUUGCUUCGGCGGGUGUCUCGGAGGGGGUUCUCCCUCCCCGAGACGCUAAACCCGCCGGCAGCCUACUAUACUCUGUCUCUUUGCGUUGGCAUCUCGAGUACAAUCAAACAAGUUAAAACUUUCAACAACGGAUCUCUUGGUUCUG
rnacentral:misc_RNA from 1 species